rnacentral:rRNA from 1 species
AACGAACGCUGGCGGCAGGCCUAACACAUGCAAGUCGAGCGCCCCGCAAGGGGAGCGGCGGACGGGUGAGUAACGCGUGGGAACGUGCCCUUUGCUUCGGAAUAGCCUCGGGAAACUGAGAGUAAUACCGAAUGUGCCCUACGGGGGAAAGAUUUAUCGGCAAAGGAUCGGCCCGCGUUGGAUUAGGUAGUUGGUGAGGUAAUGGCUCACCUAGGCGACGAUCCGUAACUGGUCUGAGAGGAUGAACAGUCACACUGGAACUGAGACACGGUCCAGACUCCUACGGGAGGCAGCAGUGGGGAAUAUUGGACAAUGGGCGAAAGCCUGAUGCAGCGAUGCCGCGUGAGGGAUGACGGCCUUCGGGUUGUAAACCUCUUUCAGCAGGGAAGAAGCGAAAGUGACGGUACCUGCAGAAGAAGCACCGGCUAACUACGUGCCAGCCGCCGCAGUAAGAC